rnacentral:rRNA from 1 species
AAGCAGGGGACGUAAGGCCUUGCGCUUUUGGAGCGGCCGAUGUCUGAUUAGCUAGUUGGUGGGGUAAAGGCCUACCAAGGCGACGAUCAGUAGUUGGUCUGAGAGGACGACCAGCCACACUGGGACUGAGACACGGCCCAGACUCCUACGGGAGGCAGCAGUGGGGAAUUUUGGACAAUGGGCGCAAGCCUGAUCCAGCAAUGCCGCGUGAGUGAAGAAGGCCUUCGGGUUGUAAAGCUCUUUCAGCCGAGAAGAAAAGGUUGUGAUGAAUAAUCACAACUCAUGACGGUAUCGACAGAAGAAGCACCGGCUAACUACGUGCCAGCAGCCGCGGUAAUACGUAGGGUGCAAGCGUUAAUCGGAAUUACUGGGCGUAAAGGGUGCGCAGGCGGCUUUGUAAGUCAGAUGUGAAAUCCCCGGGCUUAACCUGGGAAUUGCGUUUGAAACUACAAAGCUAGA